rnacentral:rRNA from 1 species
AAAGGGGAUCAUUACCGAGUUUACAACUCCCAAACCCAAUGUGAACGUUACCAAACUGUUGCCUCGGCGGGAUCUCUGCCCCGGGUGCGUCGCAGCCCCGGACCAAGGCGCCCGCCGGAGGACCAACCAAAACUCUUUUUGUAUACCCCCUCGCGGGUUUUUUUAUAAUCUGAGCCUUCUCGGCGCCUCUCGUAGGCGUUUCGAAAAUGAAUCAAAACUUUCAACAACGGAUCUCUUGGUUCUGGCAUCGAUGAAGAACGCAGCGAAAUGCGAUAAGUAAUGUGAAUUGCAGAAUUCAGUGAAUCAUCGAAUCUUUGAACGCACAUUGCGCCCGCCAGUAUUCUGGCGGGCAUGCCUGUCCGAGCGUCAUUUCAACCCUCGAACCCCUCCGGGGGGUCGGCGUUGGGGAUCGGCCCUCCCUUAGCGGGUGGCCGUCUCCGAAAUACAGUGGCGGUCUCGCCGCAGCCUCUCCUGCGCAGUAGUUUGCACACUCGCAUCGGGAGCGCGGCGCGUCCACAGCCGUUAAACACCCAACUUCUGAAAUGUUGACCUCGGAUCAGGUAGGAAUACCCGCUGAACUUAAGCAUAUCAAAA